rnacentral:tRNA from 3 species
CGGGACGUAGCGCAGCCUGGUAGCGCGCUACACUGGGGGUGUAGAGGUCGCAGGUUCAAAUCCUGUCGUCCCGAC